rnacentral:tRNA from 1 species
GGGGCUAUAGCUCAGCUGGGAGAGCGCUUGCAUGGCAUGCAAGAGGUCGUCGGUUCGAUCCCGUCUAGCUCCA